GACGAACGCUGGCGGCGUGCUUAACACAUGCAAGUCGAACGGAAAGGCCCUGCUUUUGUGGGGUGCUCGAGUGGCGAACGGGUGAGUAACACGUGAGUAACCUGCCCUUGACUUUGGGAUAACUUCAGGAAACUUGGGCUAAUACCGGAUAGGAGCUCCUGCUGCAGGGUGGGGGUUGGAAAGUUUCGGCGGUUGGGGAUGGACUCGCGGCUUAUCAGCUUGUUGGUGGGGUAGUGGCUUACCAAGGCUUUGACGGGUAGCCGGCCUGAGAGGGUGACCGGCCACAUUGGGACUGAGAUACGGCCCAGACUCCUACGGGAGGCAGCAGUGGGGAAUAUUGCACAAUGGGCGGAAGCCUGAUGCAGCAAUGACGCGUGCGGGAUGACGGCCUUCGUGUUGUAAACCGCUUUCGCCUGUGACGAAGCGUGAGUGACGGUAAUGGGUAAAGAAGCACCGGCUAACCACGU
rnacentral:rRNA from 1 species